GAGGACGAUGCUCGGAUUACUGGGCGUAAGAGCGCGUAGGCGGUCCUUUAAGUCGGUGGUGAAAUCCCGGGGCUUAACCCCGGAACUGCCUCCGAUACUGUUGGACUUGAGUGCGGGAGAGGGUAGUGGAAUUCCCAGUGUAGAGGUGAAAUUCGUAGAUAUUGGGAAGAACACCAGUGGCGAAGGCAGCUACCUGGACCGCAACUGACGCUGUGGCGCGAAAGCGUGGGGAGCAAACAGGAUUAGAUACCCUGGUAGUCCACGCCCUAAACGAUGGGCACUAGGUGUGGGAGGUAUCGACCCCUCCCGUGCCGCAGCUAACGCAUUAAGUGCCCCGCCUGGGGAGUACGGUCGCAAGAUUAAAACUCAAAGGAAUAGACGGGGACUCGCACAAGCGGUGGAUUAUGUGGCUCAAUUCGUCGACAAACGAAGAACCUUACCAAGGUUAGAAAUCCAGCUGCAUCCUUUGCGAAAGCAGAGGAGCCUUCGAGGGUGCUGGACAGGUGAUGCACGGUCGUCGUCAGUUCGUGGUUUGAACUGUUCCCUUCAGUGGGGUAACGAACGCAACCCCUAUUGCCUGUUGCCUAUAUGGUCAGGCGAGACUGCUCCCUCACGGGAGAGGAGGGUGGGGAUGACGCCAGAUCAGCGUGUCCCUCUGAUACCUUGGGCCGCACACAUAAUACAAUGGUUGGCUACAACGGGAUGCAAGACCGCAAGGUGGAGCAAAUCCUUAAAACCAACCCCAGUACGGAUAGAGGUCUGCAACCGACCUCUUGAAGCCGGAAUCGCUAGUAAUCCCGGGUCAGCCAAACCGGGGUGAAUACGUUCUCGAGUCUUGUACUCACCGCCCGUCAACUCAAGGGAGCUGGGGGUGCCCGAAGGCCUGCCUCGCGCAGGACUACGGCAAAUUCAGUAACAGGGAGUAAGUCGUAACAAGGUAAC
rnacentral:rRNA from 1 species